rnacentral:rRNA from 1 species
GACGAACGCUGGCGGCGUGCCUAAUACAUGCAAGUCGAGCGAGACUCUUCGGAGUCUAGCGGCGGACGGGUGAGUAACACGUGGGCAACCUGCCUGUAAGACUGGGAUAACACCGGGAAACCGGUGCUAAUACCGGAUAAUCCUUUUCCUCUCAUGAGGAAAAGCUGAAAGUCGGUUUCGGCUGACACUUACAGAUGGGCCCGCGGCGCAUUAGCUAGUUGGUGAGGUAACGGCUCACCAAGGCGACGAUGCGUAGCCGACCUGAGAGGGUGAUCGGCCACACUGGGACUGAGACACGGCCCAGACUCCUACGGGAGGCAGCAGUAGGGAAUCUUCCACAAUGGACGAAAGUCUGAUGGAGCAACGCCGCGUGAGCGAUGAAGGCCUUCGGGUCGUAAAGCUCUGUUGUUAGGGAAGAACAAGUACCGGAGUAACUGCCGGUACCUUGACGGUACCUAACCAGAAAGCCACGGCUAACUACGUGCCAGCAGCCGCGGUAA